UUGCGGAGCACAGGCUCCGGACGCGCAGGCUCAGCGGCCAUGGCUCACGGGCCCAGCCGCUCCGCGGCAUGUGGGAUCUUCCCGGACCGGGGCAUGAACCCCGGUCCCCUGCAUCGGCAGGCGGACUCUCAACCACUGCGCCACCAGGGAAGCCCAACUAUAGUUUAUUGAAAGCUUCCUGUUGCUCGGCAUCAGGCUAAGCAUGGCAUAUACUUACACUCUUUCUCCUCCACAACAACAUUAUACAGGCAAAUACUAUUAGUAUCAUUAUUAUUUCCGUAGAUGGAGGCACAGAGUGAUUAAGUGACUAGCUUGUCACCUUAAAGGUAGAAAGUGACAGAGCUGGGAUUUUUACCAGAUCUUGGGCCCUUAAUCACUGCCAUGUACUACUGAUGAGCAUUCAUCUUUCACUGUUCUUUUCUGUACCGUGCAAGCUACUAUUACUUUUAUAAUAAGAUAAUAACAAACACUUAAGGGGGGAGAAAAUUGUUCAAGACUUCUUAUUUGAAGGGAACCACUACUGCAAGGAGCUCAGACCCAGGCCUCCCAAUGGGGUUCAUUAUACCCACUACAGUCACUGCCACAUUUCCAUGUCUAGAUCUUUCUAAAUGCAAGAUGAGAUAGUACUUCUAAGGAAUUGCUUUGGGACCUUUGCACAAAGUUUCCUAUUGACAAAUGCACCGCACAUGGGGAGGGCACCCUUCACAACAUAGGUCCUGGGUUGUCCUGGGUGGUGUGCUUGCAGUAGUUUCUCUCUGGCUGUCUCUCUCUCAGAAUCAUUAAUCAUGACUUUACUAUCCAUACCUUCUACAUAAAUAAGCCCUACCCUUCCUCCUAGGCCCACUCCUCAAGCUCCCUUUCCUCCUUAGCUCACCUCCCCUCAUUCUAGGGGAGUCCCUACCGGCUUUGGCAUUAUCCACCUGUGCUCCAGCCUCCUGGAGAACAGUGUCACCUUCGGUCCACAGAUGACCCAGACAGUGAUCCAGGCAGCCAGGGAGCUGGAAGCAGAAGAAAAGACGCACUGCCACUCUCUUACCUGCUCUUUCAGGUCCUAGCUGCCUAGAAGAUGCAAUUCCACUGAGUAAUAGUGCCAGGUUGGGGCAGCUGGGUUGGAUCUUAAGACUCCGGGCCUUUGUACAUGCUGUCCCUCUGCCUGGCUAACUCCUCAGCGCCCUUCAAGAUUCAACUUAGUAACCCCUCCUCAAGAAGGCAAUCCUCACUGAUGCUUGCCACCCUCCUCAGCGGCUGGAGUGAAGAGCCACUCCUGGGGCUCCUUCCACUUCUUGGGUUUCUACCCACCUGAACUCCAAAUAAGCAGAAUUCAUUAACAAGUGGGAAUGGGGAGAUCAAAUGCUCAGAUUUAAAAAAAAAAAAAAAGCCUCUCCUAAGGACUUUUUAAGUGGAUUCAGCUGCUCUCACCUGAUAACUACUAUCUGCUCUGGCACUUUCUACUCUGGGCUAUGACAAGUCACACCAGCCAUAUGAGCUCACAUGUCACCUGUGUGACCCUGGAAAGGAAGGUGGGGACACCUUUAUAAAACAAUGGGCCCAGGAUGGGAAAGCAAAGGGAAUGGGCAGCUGGCCAAGCUAAACAGCUCUUCUAUUUUUGACUGUGUGCUUGCAGCAGAAAGUAGUCUAAAGAAGUUGUAACUAUUGCCCAGUGAUUGGCUUACAAGCAGCUGAGAAGUGGAGUUCACUGUUGUGAUUAUAUUUAAAGAAACUAUUUGAAAUAAUAAACUUCCUUUUUCUCUUGUGAUUGAAUCUAUGGUGGUAAUAAAAAAAAUAAAGAACAGCUGUGCAGAGGGGUAACCAUGACUCCAAAACUUCUAGCCAACUUUGGAUAACAGCAAAGACCUGAAAUGCAAAAAAUGGAAAUCUCCUUUGGAGCAAACAUUCUGGUCAGCUUCAUCCCAAACCUUGAGGUCUCCAGUGUGUUGCUCAGGAACGCUUGACACCAUCUCAGAAUCCAAAGUGGACAUAUUUAUAGUGUGUCCCGACUUUGAAAGGAGUUAAGAGCAGAGAGCUGAAAAUAGUUGGUCUGGAUGGGGAAUGAAAAUCAAAUGUUCUCUUACUCUGAAGGGCGUGAUGAACGAAGAUUCAUAAUGUAAGAUGCCAUGUAGCACUCUGAGAAAAGAUGAUGCCUACAUUUUUAGCUUAAUUUAAGGGAAGAUGGCCCUGAACCCAGCACUGGAGAUACAGCAGUGAACAAAACAGCAACCCCGGCCCCAGGAAUUUUACGUUCUCUGAGGGGAGACAGGAAAUAACAAAUAAGAUGUUGUCUUGCGCCCAGGGCAGCUGUGAGUAUGUGAAUGCCUCAUCAGUGACUGUGGACACCGCCCAAAUGGCAAUCAGCACAGAAACCUUAUAAAAUUACCAACAGAUUACUGCUUCUGUCUGCCAGCACUUUCAAUGCCAGCCAGCCUGGGGGCUUGUUUUGUUUUGGGUUUUUUUGGUUUUGUUUUUUUUUCUACUGGAAUACGUUGUGAUUUAGAGAUCUCCGAAGAAUCCCUGCUUCUGUGAGGCCACCUAAACCAUGACCCCAUAAAAUGAAAAUGGAUACCACUGUGGCCAUACAGGUCUGCAUCGUACAAUUCAAGGAGACCGUUCACAUCAUGACUGAGCAGCAAGACAGUCUGUCUAUAACAGGAGGAGGGGUGAGGAACCUGAGGCCCGGAGAGUUACAUCUGUAGGGCUUCCCUGCUGGCACAGCGGUGAAGAAUCUGCCGGCCAAUGCAGGGGACAUGGGUUUGAGCCCUGGUCUGGGAAGAUCUCACAUGCCACGGAGCAACUAAGCCCGUGUGCCACAACUACUGAAGUCCGCUCACCUAGAGCCCGUGUUCCACAGCAAGAGAAGCCACUGCAAUGAGAAACACAGUCACCGCAGCAAAGAGUAGCCCCCACUCGCCACAACUAGAGAAAGCGCACGCACAGCAACUAAGACCCAACACAGCCAAAAAUAAGGACUUCCCUGGUGGCGCAGUGGUUAAGAAUCCACCUGCCAAUGCAGGGGACAUGAGUUCGAGCGCUGGUCCGGGAAGAUCCCACAUGCCGAGGAGCAGCUAAUACCUUGUGCCACAACUACUGAGACUGCGCUCUAGAACCCACGAGCCACAACUACUGAAGCCCGUGCGCCUAGAGCCCGUGCUCCGCCACAAGAGAAGCCACUGCAAUGAGAAGCCUGUGCACCGCAACGAAGAGUAACCCCCUCUCGCCGCAGCUAGAGAAAGCCUGCACGUGGCAACGAAGACCCAAUGCAGCUAAAAAUAAAUAAAUAAAUUAAUUAAAAAAUCAUUAAAUUAAAUUAAAUUUAAGAAAAACAAUACAACAGAUCCAUUUGUCAAGCUGCAAUCCUUCCCACACCCCAGCCUCUACCCCUGCCUCAGCAAACUUAAAAAAUAAUGGAACUGUUAUAAAGUUCAGUAGAUUCCCAAUAGGGUAAUGCCCUAGGAAGAGAACAUAAAUAGAAUCUGAUAUAUCUGUCUCAAAUGGUUUUACUGAAUUAUGCC